AAAUCAUUGACUAGUUCAUUGUAGGCUGUUGUAGGCUGUUAUAUGAAUAUGGUUAAUCUCCUCAUCAGUCUGAGGUCUUUGGGACAUCUGGUCUUAACAGGUAUGAGGUGUGUCAUAUACAGUUGUAGUCUGAAGGUUACUAAUCACCUUAGCCAAAUACAUUUCAAAUCAAUUUCUCACAAUUCCUGACACUGAAAAGACAAAUUCCCUGUCUAAGGCCAGUUAGGAUCACCACUUUAUUUUAAGAGUGUGAAAUGUCUGAAUAAUAGUAGAGAGAAUUCUUUAUUUUUUUCAUCACAUUCCCAGUGGGUCAGAAGUUUACAUACACCAAGUUAGUAUCUGGUAGCAUUGCCUUUAAAUUGUUUAACUUGGGUCAAAUGUUUCAGGUAGCCUUCGACAAGCUUCCCACAAUAAGUUGGGUGAAUUUUGGCCCAUUCCUCCAAACAGAGCUGGUGUAACUGAGUCAGGCUUGUAAGCCUCCUUGCUCGCACACACUUUUUCAGUUCUGCCCACAAAUUUUCUAUAGGAUUGAGGUCAGGGCUUUGUGAUGGCCACACCAAUACCUCGACUUUGUUGUCCUUAAGCCAUUUUGCCACAACUUUGGAAGUAUGCUUGGGGUCAUUGUCCAUUUGGAAGACCCAUUUGCGACCAAGCUUUAACUUCCUGACUGAUGUCUUGAGAUGUUGUUCCAGUAUAUCCACCUAAUUUUCCUUUCUCAUGAUGCCAUCUAUUUUGAGAAGUGCACCAGUCCCUCCUGCAGCAAAGCAGCCCCACAACAUGCUGCUGCCACCCCCGUGCUUCAUGGUUGAGAUAGUGACCGUCGGCUUGCAAGCCUCCCCAUUUUUCCUCCAAACAUAACGAUGGUCAUUAUGGUUAAACAGUUCUAUUUUUGUUUCAUCAGACCAGAAGACAUUUCUCCAAAAAGUAUCAUCUUUGUCCCCAUGUCCCCAGUUGCAAACCAUAGUCUGGUUUUUUUAAUGGCUGAUUUUGAACAGUGGCUUCUUCCUUGCGGAGCGACCUUUCAUGUUAUGCCGAUAUAGAACUCGUUUUACUGUGGAUAUAGAUACUUUUGUACCAGUUUCCUCCAUAAUCUUCACAAGGUCCUUUGCUGUUCUUCUGGGAUUGAUUUGCACUUUUCACACCAAAGUACGUUCAUCUCUAGGAGACAGAACAAGUCUCCUUCCUGAGCGGUAUGACGGCUGCGUGGUCCCACGGUGUUUAUACUUGCGUACUAUUGUUUGUACAGAUGAACGUGGUAACUUCAGGAGUUUGGAAAUUGCUCCCAAGGAUGAACCAGACUUGUGGAGGUCUACAAUUCUCUUUCUGAGGUCUUGGCUGAUUUCUUUAGAUUUUCCCAUGAUGUCAAGCAAAGAGGCACUGAGUUUGAAAGUAGGCCUUGAAAUACAUCCACAGGUACACCUCCAAUUGACUCACAUUAUGUCAAUUAGUCUAUCAGAAGCUUCUAAGGCCAUGCCAUAAUUAUCUGGAAUUUUCCAAGCUUUUUAAAGGCACAGUCAACUUAGCGUAUGUAAACUGCUGACCACUGGAAUUGUGAAACAGUGAAUUAAAUCAGUCUAAACAUUUGUUGGAAAAAAUCCUUGUGUCAUGCACAAUGUGGAUGCCCUAACCAACUAACCAACCAACUAACCAACCAACUAACCAACCAACUAACCAACUUGUCAAAACUAUAGUUUGGUGGUUGAAAAACGAGUUUUAAAGACUCCAACCUAAGUAUGUAAACUUCCGACUUCAACUGUACAUCUAACAGUACCAGGUUGUUAGAUGGGAGAGUGCAGUAUAUCUAGCUAGUUCAGUACCAGGUUGUUAGAGGGGAGUGUGAAGUAUAUCUAGCUAGUUCAGUACCAGGUUGUUAGAGGGGAGUGUGCAGUAUAUACAUCUAACAGUAGCAGGUUGUUAGAUGGGAGUGUGCAGUAUAUCUAGCUAGUUCAGUACCAGGUUGUUAGAUGGGAGUGUGCAGUAUAUCUAGCUAGUUCAGUACCAGGUUGUUAGAGGGGAGUGUGCAGUAUAUCUAGCUAGUUCAGUACCAGGUUGUUAGAGGGGAGUGUGCAGUAUAUACAUCUAACAGUAGCAGGUUGUUAGAUAGGAGUGUGCAGUAUAUCUAGCUAGUUCAGUACCAGGUUGUUAGAGGGGAGUGUGCAGUAUAUCUAGCUAGUUCAGUACCAGGUUGUUAGAGGGGAGUGUGCAGUAUAUACAUCUAACAGUAGCAGGUUGUUAGAUGGGAGUGUGCAGUAUAUCUAGCUAGUUCAGUACCAGGUUGUUAGAGGGGAGUGUGAAGUAUAUCUAGCUAGUUCAGUACCAGGUUGUUAGAUGGGAGUGUGCAGUAUAUCUAGCUAGUUCAGUACCAGGUUGUUAGAGGGGAGUGUGAAGUAUAUCUAGCUAGUUCAGUACCAGGUUGUUAGAGGGGAGUGUGCAGUAUAUACAUCUAACAGUAGCAGGUUGUUAGAUGGGAGUGUGAAGUAUAUCUAGCUAGUUCAGUACCAGGUUGUUAGAGGGGAGUGUGCAGUAUAUCUAGCUAGUUCAGUACCAGGUUGUUAGAGGGGAGUGUGAAGUAUAUCUAGCUAGUUCAGUACCAGGUUGUUAGAGGGGAGUGCGCAGUAUAUACAUCUAACAGUAGCAGGUUGUUAGAUGGGAGUGUGCAGUAUAUCUAGCUAGUUCAGUACCAGGUUGUUAGAGGGGAGUGUGCAGUAUAUCUAGCUAGUUCAGUACCAGGUUGUUAGAGGGGAGUGUGCAGUAUAUACAUCUAACAGUAGCAGGUUGUUAGAUGGGAGUGUGCAGUAUAUCUAGCUAGUUCAGUACCAGGUUGUUAGAGGGGAGUGUGCAGUAUAUCUAGCUAGUUCAGUACCAGGUUGUUAGAUGGGAGUGUGCAGUAUAUACAUCUAACAGUAGCAGGUUGUUAGAUAGGAGUGUGCAGUAUAUCUAGCUAGUUCAGUACCAGGUUGUUAGAGGGGAGUGUGCAGUAUAUCUAGCUAGUUCAGUACCAGGUUGUUAGAGGGGAGUGUGCAGUAUAUACAUCUAACAGUAGCAGGUUGUUAGAUGGGAGUGUGCAGUAUAUCUAGCUAGUUCAGUACCAGGUUGUUAGAGGGGAGUGUGAAGUAUAUCUAGCUAGUUCAGUACCAGGUUGUUAGAGGGGAGUGUGCAGUAUAUACAUCUAACAGUAGCAGGUUGUUAGAUGGGAGUGUGAAGUAUAUCUAGCUAGUUCAGUACCAGGUUGUUAGAGGGGAGUGUGAAGUAUAUCUAGCUAGUUCAGUACCAGGUUGUUAGAUGGGAGUGUGCAGUAUAUCUAGCUAGUUCAGUACCAGGUUGUUAGAGGGGAGUGUGCAGUAUAUCUAGCUAGUUCAGUACCAGGUUGUUAGAUGGGAGUGUGCAGUAUAUCUAGCUAGUUCAGUACCAGGUUGUUAGAUGGGAGUGUGCAGUAUAUCUAGCUAGUUCAGUACCAGGUUGUUAGAGGGGAGUGUGAAGUAUAUCUAGCCAGUUCAGUACCAGGUUGUUAGAUGGGAGUGUGCAGUAUAUCUAGCUAGUUCAGUACCAGGUUGUUAGAGGGGAGUGUGCAGUAUAUCUAGCUAGUUCAGUACCAGGUUGUUAGAUGGGAGUGUGCAGUAUAUCUAGCUAGUUCAGUACCAGGUUGUUAGAUGGGAGUGUGCAGUAUAUCUAGCUAGUUCAGUACCAGGUUGUUAGAGGGGAGUGUGCAGUAUAUCU